UACGAAGGGUGCGAGCGUUACUCGGAAUUACUGGGCGUAAAGCGUGCGUAGGUGGUUCGUUAAGUCUGAUGUGAAAGCCCUGGGCUCAACCUAGGAAUGGCAUUGGAAACUGGCGACCUAGAGUGCGGUAGAGGGUAGUGGAAUUCCCGGUGUAGCAGUGAAAUGCGCAGAUAUCGGGAGGAACACCAGUAGCGAAGGCGGCACUCUGGGCCGGUACUGACGCUGAGGAGCGAAAGCGUGGGGAGCAAACAGG
rnacentral:rRNA from 1 species